CCAGUGUCUGUGGAAACACAGGCAUAUCCCCUUCUCCAGGUAAUGAGACUCCAUGGGCCUCCCCACUUAUUAGUGAGGUCUAUUACCUUGGGCUUAGGCAACUGUUUAUCUCCAGAUGAUUGUAAUAAUAGAAAGUGAUUUAAAAUCACUGUGUUCUGGGACCCUUCUGAUACUGCUAUUGUAUGAAUAGCCUUAGCUACUUUGCUCUCUGCGGUCCCAUCAUGACUCAAACCUCCCAAGAGUGGCCCGGCUAGCUCAGUGAUGAGGUUUCUCUUCACUCUGGUUUUGAGCCAGCAUAUGUUUGUGGGGUUCACUGAUUUUCUUCAAGAAUUUGAGACUAUCAAGCGAGUAAAGAAAUCAGGGGUGGACUCUCUCCCCGGGGUUGCAUUCCACAGUUUAUUUCUGUGAAGGGGAAUCCAAGGGGUGAAAGACAAAGGAUUUGGGGUCUGGGGGGUCUCUUUUAACAGGGUUUCUCGGAGGGAGGGAACAUCAGAGAGAGAACCAAUUAUUUUUCUCAGUUAGUACAUCUUACAAACUUUCUACAAAUCAAGGUUACUAAGAUAAGAAAUAUCAGACACAAACUUCUUCAAAUGCCCACAAAGGUGUAGGAGUAUACUCCACAGAGGGGCAGAGGGGGAGGGGGGGGUGGCUUGUUUCCUGGCAACACAGGGGGGAAAGAAAGGGAAGGCAAGGUAAGCAUGCCCUCUCAGCUUCCAUAGCUCAGAGGCAUUCUGGGACAGAAAAAACAAAGUUACAAACUUCCGUGUUGGAAAGAAAGAUCUCUCUUCUCCCAACCCCGUGCUUUCCUGGGCUAAAGAAAUUUCAAGCAGCUGGAAAUGCCAGCAGGGUCUUCUCUUUACUCUAUCCGGCCUCUCGCCGUGGAGCUGAGGAGAAAAACUUCAGUAACCAUGGUAACCUGACUUCAGGUCCAAAAAGGUCACCUGUCCAUCUGACCAGACUGUGUGCCUCUGAACACACGAGAUCCAGUGAACAGAGAAGUCACCACACAGCCUUGGUACUCCAGACAUGGAUCAGAAGUGGACCUGUCAGGACACAGUUGUGUCUGAACACUACACAGACAAAAUUUUAUAUUGUUAUUAUGAUGUGGUGUUUUUAUUAAUUUUUCAGUUAUCCUUUGUUUUAAGAUUUAGAAGGAUUUGAAGAACAACUUGAACAUCAAAGCCCUUAGUCACCGAUCAGCUGCCAGCUGACAUCACGGGAGCAGUGAACAUUCCUGGACUGAAUCGUGUUAGAGAAAUUCUGUAGAAGAUUUGGGAGGUGUGGAGACUCCAUCUAACUAUAUACAAAGCAAAUUGUAAUUGUGUGUUUAUCCUUUUAGCAAAUUGUUUUCACGCUUAGACUACAUAUAUACCACAACACAUAUGUUAAAAGUAGUUAGAUAAUAGUUUAAAGUAAAAUGUUUAGCUUGUGUAGUAAUUGUUAUAUUAGUAUAAAGUAUAAGUAUUUUCCUUUAAGAGGUAGUGUAAGCAUCUUUGAAAGUUCAUUUAACGCUAAAAGUUUUAGCUGUAAGUUUGCAAGUAUGGUGUCAUUUACAUGGUAAGCUGCUUAUAGUAACUGUGCUGUUUAUAGUUAUAACACCUGAAGCAGUGAGCCCCAACCUUGUGGUACAAGCUGAAAACCCAUGAUCUAAUAGUCUAGCCCUUGUAUUUAUACCCAAGUUUUAACUCCUCUGCUGACUUUUGUGUAUUAGCUGUUAUCAUCCCCAGGGUCCUAUACCACUCCAAAGAAGAAGUGAACCAGUACCUUGAGCAAGCAGGCCGCCUUCAGAAAAGAGAGCUGUUGACAGGACUGUCAAUAGCAAUGCUGCUCGGCUUGGGAGCGACCAGAGCAGCCACGGAUGUCUCCGCUCUGGUAACCCAGAGUCAGAGUCUCUCUCAGCUACAAAUGACUGUAGAUGAAGAUCUACAGAGAAUUGAGAAAUCCAUAUCCUUUCUAGAAAAAUCAGUCUCCUCACUCUCUAAAGUUGUUUUGCAAAAAAAGUGAGGUCUCGACCUUCUGCUCAUGCAGCAGGGAGGCCUCUGCAUCGCCCUGAACGAAGAAUGCUGCUUCUACGCUGACCACACCGGAGUAGUGAGAGACACCAUGGCAGAGCUACGAGACAGGCUGUCUCAACGGAAGGCAGAGAGAGAAGCUCAGCAAAGCUGGUUCCAGUCCUGGUUCGAUCAAUCUCCAUGGCUAACCACCCUAGUGUCUAUCCUGAUUAGACCAGUUGUGAUGAUUUUACUUGUGUUA